GACAGAGUGCUAGAGUGGUUAAUAGGUGAGACUUGAAGCAAAGAGCGUUUGACGCGCUCUUUCACCUAGAUAUCUCAUGGCUUCGGCCUCGCAGGUUCGAAUCCUGUCUCUGUCG
rnacentral:tRNA from 1 species